AGAGUUUGAUAACGGCUCAGAGUGAACGCUGGCGGCAUGCUUUACACAGACAAGUGGUCCGGCAGCACGGGGGUAGCCUUGGUGGCGAGUGCAGAACGGGUGAGUAAUACAUUUGAUAGUAUCCGGGAGUGGGGGAUACACAGAAAACGUUGUGCUAAUGGACCAUGAACUCUGAGGAAAAAGUGGGGGACCGUAAGGCCUCACGGUAAAGGGGCGGCCGAUUUCGGUUAAAGAAAAGGGUGAGGUAAAGGCUCACCAAGGUUUCGAUCGGUACCUGGUAAGCGAGGAUUAUCAACCACAUUGGGAAGGAGACUCGGCCCCGACUCAUACGGGAGGCGGCACUGGUGAAUUUUGUACAAUGGGGGCAACCCUGAUCCAACCAUGCCGGAUAAUUGAAGAAGGCCUUCGGGUUGGAAAGAUCGUUGGUGAGGGAAGAAACGUUCAUUGUGAAUAGCUGUGGAAACUCACGGUACCUCAAGAAGAAGCACCGGCUAAAUUCGUGCCAGCCGCCGCGGU
rnacentral:rRNA from 1 species